rnacentral:rRNA from 1 species
AACGAACGCUGGCGGCAUGCCUAACACAUGCAAGUCGAACGAGACCUUCGGGUCUAGUGGCGCACGGGUGCGUAACGCGUGGGAAUCUGCCCUUGGGUUCGGAAUAACUUCGGGAAACUGAAGCUAAUACCGGAUGAUGACGUAAGUCCAAAGAUUUAUCGCCCAAGGAUGAGCCCGCGUAGGAUUAGCUAGUUGGUGGGGUAAAGGCCCACCAAGGCGACGAUCCUUAGCUGGCCUGAGAGGAUGAUCAGCCACACUGGGACUGAGACACGGCCCAG